UUGACCCGUCUUUCUGUUUAUGGCCGUUGAUUUGUCCGGGACCACUCGGGUUUGACGCCUCCUUUCAGAGUUCAAGCUUGGAGGUCCGAGCUUAUCGUCGCCCUGAGGAAGCCGCCUUAUCUCUGGCUCGUGUUGAGAGCUUUCUUGAAGGUCGGGGAUUUUGAUAAGAACCCCAAUCCUCGCUGAGACGAGGUUCCUUGCAUUUUUGAUGCAAUU
rnacentral:lncRNA from 1 species